AAGCAGGGAGAUAGUAAUGAGUGUCGGGCGAACAAGCGUCCACGCUCGGAGUGUUUGGACGUUGUGCCACCCAUAACACAACAGAGAGAUCACUGCACUGCUGGACCAGGCAAUGUGCCCUGUUCAGUUUACCACUACACAACUCCAGCUCUUCAGAGGCAUAAGCUGGUGGAGGCCACUGGAGACCUGGAACAGAGACUCUGCCAACAGCACUACCGAGCGCUGGAGUUAUUUUGCGAGACUGACCAGACUCCAAUCUGUGUGUUAUGUGUUGCAAAACAACACAGAGGGCAUGACAUAACAGAACUCGAAGAAAAACAGAGUCGUCAGAUGAAGGCAUCUGAAAUGGCACCCAACAA